rnacentral:rRNA from 1 species
UACAGAGGGUGCGAGCGUUAAUCGGAAUUACUGGGCGUAAAGCGCGCGUAGGCGGCUUUGCAAGUCGAGUGUGAAAUCCCCAGGCUUAACCUGGGAACUGCAUUCGAGACUGCAUAGCUAGAGUAUGGGAGAGGGAAGUGGAAUUUCAGGUGUAGCGGUGAAAUGCGUAGACAUCUGAAGGAACAUCAGUGGCGAAAGCGACUUCCUGGACCAAUACUGACGCUCAUGUGCGAAAGCGUGGGGAGCAAACAGG